rnacentral:rRNA from 1 species
CAUAUGCUUGUCUCAAAGAUUAAGCCAUGCAUGUCUAAGUAUAAGCAAUUUGUACUGUGAAACUGCGAAUGGCUCAUUAAAUCAGUUAUCGUUUAUUUGAUAGUACCUUACUACAUGGAUACCUGUGGUAAUUCUAGAGCUAAUACAUGCUAAGAACCUCGACUUCGGAAGGGGUGUAUUUAUUAGAUAAAAAACCAACGCCCUUCGGGGCUCCUUGGUGAAUCAUAAUAACUAAGCGAAUCGCAUGGCCUUGCGCCGGCGAUGGUUCAUUCAAAUUUCUGCCCUAUCAACUUUCGAUGGUAAGAUAGUGGCUUACCAUGGUGGCAACGGGUAACGGGGAAUUAGGGUUCGAUUCCGGAGAGGGAGCCUGAGAAACGGCUACCACAUCCAAGGAAGGCAGCAGGCGCGCAAAUUACCCAAUCCCGACACGGGGAGGUAGUGACAAUAAAUACUGAUACGGGGCUCUUUUGGGUCUCGUA